rnacentral:lncRNA from 1 species
GAUGAAUCUGGAUUUCAUCCUUCAAAACAUGGUGAACUCUUUGGGGGAAGAAGUAUUCUCUGUCCCUGUGGCAGUGCCAGGCACACGGCAUCUCAUCCGUAUCAGCACUAGAAUGAACCUCAGCAGCAAAGGGCUGUAGAGCGUAUGUUCUGAGUCUCUACGCAAAGAAAUAAUAUGAUUAAAGGUGAGGAUGCCAGGGGAGUGUAAAUCAGAACAGCAGUAGGAAGUCUGCUCAUAAGGAAACUAAUCUGGGCAGGAUGUGACAAGGACCAGGGCAGAAAGAAAGAAGGAGAGAGAAGGGAUUCUGGAGACACUUGGCAGGGACGUUGGCUGCUGUCUUCUGACCCACCCUGUGUGACUUUGGCGUCUCCUGUGACCUCCCAGUAUGGGUCUUGGCUUCAUCCUGCCUCUUUGCCUUUCUGGCCCACCACCCCCAACUUGAAUCUCAGGCUCCAACAGUUGCCUGACCCCCAGACUCUGAUGACAGCCUACCUACUUGUUCUUCAGACCCUGAGCAGACUCACUGCCCAGACACACCAUACACGAGAACAUGAAAGGGUAUUUGAGUUUGGGGCCAUGUCAUAGGAUGCACCUUGAAAUGAGCCACGAAAUGUGCAGUCUAAUGGUCUCUGUUGAUCCAUUUGCUGUCUGUGAAACUCCAGAAGUCAGAUGGAAAGGCCAAGGCCACCCCAAGCAUGCUGAAAUUAGUGGGCCAUCGUCAGGAAGAAGUUCGGAACUACAUAUGGAACCAGAUUGUGUAUUUUCUUCUGGCGUGUCUUCUGAUUUUUUAUAUCGAGUAAUAGGAAACAGGUAAAUUGAGGACUUAUGUUUAUCUGGUUAGGAGUCACGUUGUGUUUAGUGUUGCUCAUAGAUGUAGGUACUAAACAUUUCAAUCUCCUCUAGCAUCCUUGUUUUUGUUUUACUUCUUGAUUUUGGGUUUUUGUAUGUACUGUUGCUUAGGGAAAAUUUUUCUUUUGUAGUUCUUUUUUUUAUUUUUUAUUUUUUUGAGGUGGAGUCUUGCUUUGUCACCCAGGCUGGAG